GGGGCUGAUCGGUUUCGACUGGGGACGCUAGUCCCAGGGGAAGCGGGUCGAGGAGCCAGCGUCAUCUCGUAAACGAUCGCUGGAAACCAAUAACUGCCAACGCUAAGCGCAGUUCCUUCGCUCUCGCCGCCUGAGCGGUGAUCGAAGCGUCUCCCCGGGUAUCCGUCUCCGGCCCGGUGUGAGGCGUCGACUAGGAGACUUGCUGUUCAUCUGCUGUCAGGGCGGAUGACCGGGACUCAAACCUGACUGAGCCCGUCGGGGAGGUGUUCGUGCCAGCCCCGGGGCCGAGAAAACGACAUCACGGACUGCACCCGGAGAAGACCUGGUUCGGCGCUCGAGGACGCGGGUUCGAUUCCCGCCAGCUCCACCA
rnacentral:tmRNA from 1 species